GCGGAUGUAGCCAAGUGGAUCAAGGCAGUGGAUUGUGAAUCCACCAUGCGCA
rnacentral:ncRNA from 2 species